AUUGAACGCUGGCGGAAUGCUUUACACAUGCAAGUCGAACGGCAGCACGGGGGCAGCCCUGGUGGCGAGUGGCGAACGGGUGAGUAAUACAUCGGAACGUGCCCGGUCGUGGGGGAUAACGUAGCGAAAGUUACGCUAAUACCGCAUACGAUCUGAGGAUGAAAGCGGGGGACCUUCGGGCCUCGCGCGAUCGGAGCGGCCGAUGUCAGAUUAGGUAGUUGGUGGGGUAAAGGCCUACCAAGCCGACGAUCUGUAGCUGGCCUGAGAGGACGACCAGCCACACUGGGACUGAGACACGGCCCAGACUCCUACGGGAGGCAGCAGUGGGGAAUUUUGGACAAUGGGCGCAAGCCUGAUCCAGCCAUUCCGCGUGCAGGACGAAGGCCUUCGGGUUGUAAACUGCUUUUGUACGGAACGAAAAGGCUCUGGCUAAUACCUGGGGCUCAUGACGGUACCGUAAGAAUAAGCACCGGCUAACUACGUG
rnacentral:rRNA from 1 species